GGAGGCGGAGCCUCGGAGAAAGAGCCCGUCAAUCAGGCUGUUUCAGCCGGGAAGAGAACGUGGACGCUCGAGGGGAAAUGGUUUAUUCCUUUACUGGUGUGUCUGGGGCUGGAAAAACCGGACUGCAGCUUCCCCAUACCUAAGAUUUACCACUUUUAUGAGGCAAAAGUAGAAACCGAACCAGUGGCUGCGCCUGCCACACUGGAAGGCAAACUCUUGCCAUUCAGGGACUUCCUGGAGUUUCCGGGGCUGCAGGGACUGGCUCUGCACAGAAUCACCAGAUGCCCUUUUUAGGACUGCAUUGGGUGCUCAGGUGUAGCUGAGCUCUGUUAAACGUUCAGAGAAGUGUGCACACGCUUGACAGACAGCCCCCAAUACCUGCUGGGACUCGUCGCCAAGCUGACAGGUGGUUCUGAAAACACACGCAAGAAAAAAACGUUGUUUGUGCAAAAACUAAAAAUUCAUAAGUCAUAUCAAUGUUUGUGCCUCCAUGACACCACUUCAGCUCUGGAGAACAAACUGCAUGGAACUCCUCAAAAUACAAAUCGCCAGUCUAGGCUGCAGUGACAAACACAAAAAAUCUGCUGCAAAUUAAGUAUACAGCAUUCUCUCCAAGGAUGGGCAGAGGCUACUAUCAAUCACAACCUUUCUGGUUGUUAAAGAAAAAUUCCAUCCAGAAAGAAGUCAGCCAUGCACAAGGAGAAGAAGGAGAAACAUUUCAUUGGUGAGCAGGGAAGCAAGCUGAGGUUCUGAAAGGGUUUAGGCCAGCCCAAAUUUCUUACCGUUUAUAGGUCAGGAGGCAACACUGCCUGCCUAGGGGACCAUCUCAGAGUGGUCUCUGAAUCCCUUAAUCAUUAAGGGAGUUUAGUUAGGAGUGUUUACAGCAACAUAAAUUGCAGAAACAAAUGGUUUUAUAUAAGAAUACAUUAUAAUUUCAAUAAUAUGUAUCAGGCAGGUAGCAAUAAAAAGGCAUACAGGAAUUGCAAAUAACAGUAGUCUUGGACUGUAAAAGAACUUUUCUCUUAGCAAACUGUAAGAGGAGGUUCAGCAUGACCUUAGUCCUCUGUGACAACCUUCCCUUCAGGCAGUUUUGGCAAAUGUUUGUUUUCCAGAUAAAGGGUGGGUGGUUUUUUUUUUUUUUUUUUUUUUUUAACAAGGCAGGACUCAACCUACCUAAGUAAAACUUUAAUCCAAUUGACUCCUACAUAACCAGACACCAAGCUAUCAUAAAAUUAUACAGACAUACAUUCAUACAUGAAUAUAUAUAGUUUUUGAAGGAAUACCCUAUAGCUAGAGAUCAGCCUCUCUGACAGAGACACAUAACCCUUCACCAUAUGUGGGGAGCAGCUUUCAAAGCUGCCGCUUGGCACUCUUUCCCAGGGAGCUCUGGGAUGAGACCCUCUGGUCAUCGAUAUACAGUGCUGCCUCCUGUAAACUCCCUUGGCCCCAGAAGAACUGCCUUCCCUUGUUGUGGAGACGCUUUCCCCACAUAGUGAGGUCAGUGACUUGCCUUCAUUUGCCUCUUUAGGUUAGCUGAUGGGGAUGCAGACGGUCCUGCUUAUGGAGAUAAAGGUUGCCACAGGGGAUGUCAUAAAAGUCCAGGUGUAGGACUGGAGGUGUAGCUCAGUAAUAGUGUGGUUUGCACAAUGGAUACCCUGCAUUCCAGUGCCAGUUCUAGAAAAGGCAAAUUAAGUUGUUCCUGGUUUGAUGAUUCCAAAGUUAAUUUACCUCAACCUCUACUCAGUGGCAGACUUCUUGGGAGACAACACACUGGAAUGUUUUCCCCUACUCUUGCUCUGAUUUGGAAUUCAUUCCACACUUUUUCCUUGGGAUUCUCAAGUCAGCAAGAUCAAAUUUCAGCCCCUGAUGGCAGGGCUGUGGGGCUCCUGCUAGGCUGGAGGCUGGGGACUCUGAUUAAUGGAACCUCCUUGAGAGUGAUUUGGCAGUUCAGAAGUCUUCUCAGUGUAUGUGCCCUCAUGACACUUCCACAGUCCAGGGGAACAGACUACAGGUUUCCAAAGAGCUAGCCAUGCCUGUAAUCUCAACACUGGCUGACCUGCUUCAAAACAGUUGUUCAAAGACUUUUCUGAUCUGACUGAGAUUAUAUACCUAAUAUGUGGGGAAGGUUCAGCUACUUUGGCAUGGAAUAGGGGAACUGACCCUAUUCCUCUGACGAUCUGUACUCUCUACAGUUGUUAACUCAGAAGUGGAGAAAACUGAAGCUCCCCAAAUUCCAGGCAAUACUGCCGGCUUCUCUAUGCUGGUCAGCCAAGUGUUAAAUAACCACAGACCAGACCUUUCAAGAAAUGAAGAUAAGUGGCUGGACCUGGUUAAAUGAAGACCCGAAUUUGGAGUGACCUGGUGACAUGGAAGGCCUCCCUCAUUGUUCUGGUUAAUUUUUACCAGCUUGGUGAAAGCUACAGUCACCUGGGAGGUGGAACCUCAAUUGAUACAGCAUGAAGGUUCCCACCAGAGGCCUGCACCAUGACCUUGGACUUUCUGACUUCCAGAACUGUGAGCCAAAGGUAAUUUAUUCUAUCCAGUAUAAAUUACCCAGGUUGUGGUAUUCUGUUACAGCAGCCAAAGCCAGACAAAUACAUUUGUCCAUGACUUUCGCAGCAAAGCAAAAGGAUCUAACACUGCGUGCUCUAUCUGCAGAAUGCUUGGAUGCUCAUAGGAGGUAUUUGUUCUCACGAGGAAGAAUUACUUUUAUUACUGUUGUUAUUAUUGUUGUUUUUAAAGUUUCAUCUAAUUUUAUGUGCAUGACUGUUUGGCUGCAUGUGUGUACUUGCGCACAUGCAUACCCUGUGCCCACAGAGCUCAGAAGAGGGUGUCAGAGCCCCUGGAACUGGAGUUACAGAAGAUUGUGACCACCAUCUGGGUUCUGGAAACUGAAUCUAAUCCCUCUGCAAGAACACUUAGCAAACUCUCUAGCCCCAGGCAAAACAUGUUUUGUUCUUAUUUCAAAACCUGAAAGCAGCUUUCUUGUGACUAAGUCAGAGAACUUGGCCUUCAGGUCAUGCUGGACACCUGUCAUUUCCCACCGAACCCAAAGCUUUUCUGGCAGCCACCCCCAACUGCUUCAAGCAUCCCUCACAUUUCAACUUCUCUAAAACAGGUCCCAUCUGCAUGACUGGAACCUUCACACCAAGCCUUUCUCCAAGCUCCUGCCUGGGAUGAUGGCUGUUGAUCCUAUUAUGACUGCCAUGCUUUUAAAGUGUGGUUUGGAGUCAUCUCAUCUCUGUCUUUUUCUUUCUUUUUAAAGAUUUUAUUUAUUUAUUAUAUGUAAGUACACUGUAGCUGUCUUCAGACAUUCCAGAAGAGGGCACCAGAUCUUGUUACAGAUGGUUUUGAGCCACCAUGUGGUUGCUGGGAUUUGAACUCAGGACCUUCGGAAGAGCAGUCAGUACUCUUAAACGCUGAGCCAUCUCUCCAGGCCUCAUCUCUGUCUUUACCUGAGGCAGUGUUGUUAAUAGUCUGAACUCACUCUUCUGAACUUUUAAAUGGUUGAAGACUCUGAUAUGGUUUGAAAAGUGAGUCACUCUCAAACAACAAUCUCUUGCACUUGAAAGUUUCCAAAAAACUUCAAGCUCUUAAUUAAUGGAAAAUACUAAAAUCAUAAAAUGUCCGCUUAGUUAACUGUAGUGCUGGGAGCUGAACUCGAGGCCUUGUGGGUGCCAGGCAGGUACACUGCCAGUGCACCAUGUCCCAACCCCACGACGGUCAAAACUGUUCAAGUUAGGAAGCCUCUGUAACUAUGACACAAAACCUGGAAGCCACAAGACAAAUUUGUAUGUGAUUAUAGAUUUGAUCAGUUUAAAUAAAACAUUUUAAUAUACAUUAAAGACCUGCCAGAAAGUAAAAUAGGAGUGGCAAAGGAAAAAAAAAAUGUAUACAUCUUACCACAAUGGGUUAAUCUCCUUAAUAAAGAUCCUAAAAAUCA